UACGUAGGGAGCAAGCGUUGUUCGGAUUUACUGGGCGUAAAGGGUGCGUAGGCGGUCGCGCAAGUCGGAUGUGAAAUCUCAGGGCUCAACCCUGAAACUGCAUUCGAUACUGCGUGGCUAGAGUGCUGGAGAGGAGACUGGAAUUUACGGUGUAGCAGUGAAAUGCGUAGAUAUCGUAAGGAAGACCAGUGGCGAAGGCGAGUCUCUGGACAGCAACUGACGCUGAGGCACGAAGGCCAGGGGAGCAAACGGG
rnacentral:rRNA from 1 species